UAGGGAAUCUUCCACAAUGGACGAAAGUCUGAUGGAGCAACGCCGCGUGAGUGAAGAAGGUCUUCGGAUCGUAAAGCUCUGUUGUUGGUGAAGAAGGAUAGAGGCAGUAACUGGUCUUUAUUUGACGGUAAUCAACCAGAAAGUCACGGCUAACUACGUGUCAG
rnacentral:rRNA from 1 species